rnacentral:rRNA from 1 species
AGAACGAACGCUGGCGGCAGGCUUAACACAUGCAAGUCGAGCGCACUCUUCGGAGUGAGCGGCGGACGGGUGAGUAACGCGUGGGAACGUGCCCAAAGGUACGGGAUAACAGUUGGAAACGACUGCUAAUACCGUAUGUGCCCUACGGGGGAAAGAUUUAUCGCCUUUGGAUCGGCCCGCGUCGGAUUAGGUAGUUGGUGGGGUAACGGUCCACCAAGCCGACGACCCGUAGCUGGUUUGAGAGGAUGAUCAGCCACACUGGGACUGAGACACGGCCCAGACUCCUACGGGAAGCAGCAGUGGGGAAUCUUGGACAAUGGGGGCAACCCUGAUCCAGCCAUGCCGCGUGAGCGAUGAAGGCCCUAGGGUUGUAAAGCUCUUUCACCCGUGAAGAUAAUGACGGUAGCGGGAGAAGAAGCCCCGGCUAACUCCGUGCCAGCAGCCGC